UUAUAAAACAAAAGAUGCUGGUUUCUUCUUUCUUUCUUUUCUCUCAGUACCGUCGAGUGGUCCAUCUUGGUGGCACAAGCAUCAAAGCAGCAGUGAAGUACAUCAUGAAUGCAAUAAUGACUAGUGAAAUGCAAACAAAAUUCAAUUGGGAAGGUCGGAUUGGAUGGAAAACGAAAACCAUCGAGUACAAAACAGGAUUUAAGAAAACAAAGAUCUGCUCUGUGAUAACCAGAGCACUGCUUGCCAAAAAUAAUUUCAUCACAACUGAGGAUGAAACUGGUAGAACAACAAUGAAGUACUUAAGGAAUGCCUCUGAUAGAUGUGGUGGGAGAAGCCGGCGCUUCCAAGUAUCACGGGAGAGCAGUGAGUCAGUGCGAUAUUUUAUUGAAUGGCCACCAGAUGUCUCACGCAACUGGACUCACACGGCGCCGCGGCCACACAGCUGAGCUCAGUUCUUCCCGCGUGCCACUUGAACAAAAAUACAGUACCCACGCUACUCAACAACAACAACACCCUCGCUGCUCUGCUACCACGAGGGGAAGGGCAGCCAGAGGAGGAACCAUGAGAGGGAGAGGAGUCAGAGUGAUACAGUAGGCAAUAAAGCCGUGGGAACUGUGCUGAGCUGACGGUGGAAUCAGCAAGAUUCAUCACCGGAAGAUCAACACUUCCGGGGAAGGAGCAACGCACAUAAAUACCACUCGCCUGAGCUACCAGGAGAGAAGCAGACGGGUGAGGGAACGAGACACAAGGUCCGCUCUGGGUGUGCUACUUAUCUUCGUGCGACCGCUCACACAAACUUUGUAACUAUUGUGUAAAAUUGUCAAUACCAUUUUUAUACUAAAAACCACACACCUUUCAAUGUCCCAGUGAGAGAGUGAACUAAGUGAACUAAAAUGAACUUAUAACGGCUACACAUCAUCUACCUCACUUAAAGGCUAUUGUGUUAUCUCACCUACUACAAUCAACUUGUGAAGCAGGCCACGGUAACACCGUAACGCCUUUAAACAUAACACUUAACACGAACCACCUUGAAAAUAACACUUAAAAACGUAUAACAGACUAAAGUAGAGAGUGGAGUUCCUCAAG